AUCGCUUCGUAUACAGAAAAUUUUUUUUUGUAUAUGGCGGAUUUGUCGGCGUGCUCGGAGAACGAGUAAUCCGGGGCGUGACACUUUCUUUAGUCAUAUUAAUUGCAAUAUGAUAUUUUUUUGAUUAUUGUGUUAUAAAAAUAAUUUUAAUCAUCCAUUUGCAUGAUAUGCGACCUCUUUUGAACAAGAUUGAAUAAUUUUGUUGGAACGAUUAAUUCUUUUUCAUUAUAAUUUUUUGUUAAAAAAAGUGUUUGUCUAUAAUAUAGACUAUAUUUAUUAUUUUUUAUACUAAACUGAUAUUUUAUUUUUUACAAAUUUUCACUUUAAC
rnacentral:lncRNA from 1 species